CUUUGCAGUUAAACUCAGAAGAGGUUUUCAACCUUUUGCAAUAACAUGACUGAAAGUGGUGAUGAACAAUUACAGAAAAAGAAGUUCACUAGUUGACCCAAGGCAAGAAAAUCACGCCCCCUUUUCCCUAUCAGUCCCAGUUCCAGAAGAGUGGAAACCUCCCUCUUCUGUAAAGCACUCUCAGACCUACUGACAAAUCUCAGAAUGACAAGGUUGGAAGAGACCUUCAAGAUCAUCAAGUCCAACCAAUGCCCUAAUACCUCAACUAAACCAUGGCACCAAGUGCCAUAUCCAGUCUUUUUUUAAACACAUCCAGGGAUGGUGACUCCAUCACCUCCCAGGACAAAGCAUUCCAGUAUUUUAUCACUCUUCCUGUGAAGAACUUUUUCCUAACGUCCAACCUAAAGGUCCCUUGGCACAGCUUAAGACUGUGCCCUCUUGUUCCGUCAGUUGCUGCCUGGAAAAAGAGACCAACCCCAACCUGACUACAGCCAUCUUUCAGGCAGUUGUAGAGAGGGGCUAAGGUCACCUCUGAGUCUCUGUUUC